UGUGCAUAUCUAACACAUUAAUGACACAAAUUCAUUACAAUAAAUGAAGACACAGACUGGCUGGGGGCCAGAGGCGAGUGAGGACAAAAAAAAGGAAAGGAAAAAAAAACACCACACAGUAAAAAAAAUAGAAAGUUGCUUUUGCUUCUGCCAGUUGGCAAGUUUGUGAUGUGAAGUUGGAUGUGGAGAGCUUCUGGCCAGUGAUGGGAAGAAGUGGCUGCUAAACACAGCAGCAGUGGUGCCAGGGGGCUGAGAGUGGGAAGGGAUGGUGAUCCAGCCAGGAUCUCCAGGGGAAAUGAAGGAGGCAAAUGGCUUUAUCAGCAGAGGGAUGGAUUGUGUGAAGCAGCUCACAGUUCCCAGCCUAGCACCACAGGACAAAGCUCCACCAGGUGACUCUACAGGGAAUCUGCAGGAGAAGACCUGAGCCAGCCUAGGACCACAGGACAAAGCUCCACCAGGUGACUCUCCAGGGAGCCCGCAGGAGAAGACCUGAGCCAGGGCUUCCUGGAGCCUUCUCAAUGAGGCUUCUGUGCUUCCAUGGGAUCUGGAUUUCAGCUUCCUGCAGAAUAAAGGAUGGCUCCCUUC